rnacentral:lncRNA from 1 species
GCACACACUCAAUGGCAUUUAUUCGUUUAAAUGGCAAUGGGACUAGUUAAAAUAUUCUUUAAAUUUAAAUAUAAAUAGUAGCUGGGAUUAGCCCAUAAUUACACUGCCUUUCGAUUGUACACGUCCACUGCCAGCGCACUGCCACACGCAAAGAGUUCCAGUUGGACCAGCUGGAGCGGCUUCAGCUGAUGUUUCUUCAGCCAGUCCCAAGGUACAGCACCUUAGAGCCACUCUUCAGGUAUAGCUCAGGCAGUCCGCUCAUGACAGCGGCGGCCAGAGUGGAAUGGUAGGGAGACCAGCUGCGAAAUUCGCACGACUCUCCGCGCAAAUCUGCACGGAACCGUUGCUCCUCUUCGUAGUCGGCUGCGACCCCUCCAGUGGCCAUGUUCGGAGUGAGCAGCUGUAUGGAAUCGUCCAUGUUGCGUGAUAGGAAUACUCCGCUAUGACGACGCCGCUCCACGACUAUUGCAGCGACGACGCUCUUAGGAAUCUUCUCUGUGCACUCAGAAACCGUCUCGCUCUUGGCUUUUGUUUGAUGCUGCUCCGGAGGCUUCUUAGUUGUUGUGG